rnacentral:lncRNA from 1 species
ACUUAAGUACAACAGAUCAAAUGAAAGAUCUCUUAUUUGAUAGCUCUGAAAACGACUUAAAAUCAAAUAACAAAAAAACGUCCUCUAGAAAAAGAACCCUAAUAACUAUUCCUAAGUUCAAAAAAUUAAAAAAAAAAAAUGAGCUAAAUAUAUUUUCAAGCCCAAAUAAAAUAAAUGACGAGUUAAAUAAAGAAAAGAAUUUUUCUGAUUCUAUUCUAAGUUCUUAUAAAUUAUUUUUAACCGAAAAACAAAAUGAAAAUAAAAUAGAAAAAGAACAGAUAAAUGAUGAGACUUUUUCUGACAUACAAAAUAUAUCAAAAGAAAAUUCCGAUAUCGAAACAGAACUAAAUCUAAAUAAAACUGGCAGUGUAUCUUUGAUAAACUCUAAAUCAAAUAAGAGUUUUAUUGACAGCCAUAAAAAGGCAUUAGAAAAUUUCCAAAAGGAUGAUGCAAAUUUUGAAUGUACAUAUAAUUGUAAAAGCGAAAAAGGACAAAAAAGUUCUAACUUAAGCACAAAAAUUAAUGAUUUAAAUGUUGAACAAUGUCAACUGGUUAGCACAUUGUUUAAUGCCUAA